AUUAAUAAAUGAGCCUGUGACCCAAAUUGCCUUUCUCGCUUCCAUCUUCCCCACCUGCGAAACAAUUUUCUUGUUCUUCUUCACAGUUCACAGAACUGAAAUCGGACUCCGGCGAACUCCAGUGGCACCAAUACUGAUCUGGUGAGGUUGUGCGAGGGAUAGCUACGUGUUCGUGCUAAUAAUUUAAUAAACCCUUCCGUUGUUUUUUUUUUUAAAUUUUUUAUCCCCUUGUUUUUUUUUUCCAGGGAAUUCUUUGUUUUGGCUGAAAAUCUUUUGGGAGGUAUCUCUCCAGUUA